AGUUGGCCAGACAAUCGCUGCUUAAUCGUUGUAUCUACUGUGUAAACGUUAGAUAGACAGAUUGAGGGGAGGAAAGUCCGGGCUCCAUUGAGCAGGGUGCCAGGUAACGCCUGGGGGGCGCAAGCCCACGACAAGUGCAGCAGAGAGAAGACCGCCGAUGGCUAUUCUUAUUUAUAAGAGCAGCACAGGUAAGGCUGAAAGGGUGCGGUAAGAGCGCACCGGGCCGCUGGUAACAGUUGGCAGCAGGGUAAACUCCACCCGGAGCAAGACCAAAUAGGGUUCCGUACGGCGUGGCUCGCGUUGGAACCGGGUAGGUUGCUUGAGCCUUAGAGCGAUUUAAGGCCUAGACGAAUGAUUGUCGCUUUUAGUAUUUAUAUUAGAAGUAACAGAACCCGGCUUAUACGGC
rnacentral:RNase_P_RNA from 1 species